UGGGGAAUAUUGCACAAUGGGCGCAAGCCUGAUGCAGCCAUGCCGCGUGUGUGAAGAAGGCCUUCGGGUUGUAAAGCACUUUCAGCGGGGAGGAAGGCGAUAAGGUUAAUAACCUUGUCGAUUGACGUUACCCGCAGAAGAAGCACCGGCUAACUCCGUGCCAGCAGCCGCGGUAAUACGGAGGGUGCAAGCGUUAAUCGGAAUUACUGGGCGUAAAGCGCACGCAGGCGGUUUGUUAAGUCAGAUGUGGAAUCCCCGGGCUCAACCUGGGAACUGGAGCUGAUACUGGCAAGCUUGAGUCUCGUAGAGGGGGGUAGAAUUCCAGGUGUAGCGGUGAAAUGCGUAGAGAUCUGGAGGAAUACCGGUGGCGAAGGCGGCCACCUGGACGAAGACUGACGCUCAGGUGCGAAAGCGUGGGGAGCAAACAGG
rnacentral:rRNA from 1 species